rnacentral:rRNA from 1 species
AGAACGAACGCUGGCGGCAGGCCUAAUACAUGCAAGUCGAGCGCCCAGCAAUGGGAGCGGCGGACGGGUGAGCAACACGUGGGAACAUGCCCUUCGGUACGGAACAACUCAGGGAAACUUGAGCUAAUACCGUAUACGCCCCGCAAGGGGGAAAGAUUUAUCGCCGAAGGAUUGGCCCGCGUCCGAUUAGCUAGUUGGUGAGGUAACGGCCCACCAAGGCACCGAUCGGUAGCUGGUUUGAGAGAACGACCAGCCACACUGGGACUGAGACACGGCCCAGACUCCUACGGGAGGCAGCAGUAGGGAAUCUUGGACAAUGGGGGAAACCCUGAUCCAGCCAUGCCGCGUGAGUGAUGAAGGCCUUCGGGUUGUAAAACUCUUUCGGCGGGGACGAUAAUGACGGUACCCGCAGAAGAAGCUCCGGCUAACUUCGUGCCAGCAGCCGC